rnacentral:misc_RNA from 1 species
UGAUAUUUCAGAUGUAAAUCGCAGUUUUAAGAAAAUCUGUCCUUGUGUACAUAAAGAAAGUGGGGGAAAGAAAAUAUUAGUUUACUUAAUGCAAGAUUUUACAGUGGUUAGUGGAUAUAGUAAGAACUGGACAUUCUUAUAUUUACAAAGUGGAGAAUUUUAAAAUACAUGAUAGCUUGGUUGACUAGCCUUUGAGGCAGAAGUGUUUUGUGCAUAAAUGGGAAAAAUUAUGUGUUGAAAUAUAUGUGUUCAACAAAUUAUAUGUGUGCAUAUUAAACAAACAGGACUAAAAUUUUAAAUACCAGAAAUUAGGUAGAAAACAUUUUACUUAAAGAAACAGUAAAACAAAAUAUAUUGGAAUAAGAUCAAAAAAAAUUCAAAAGACAUUAUGUGGACUGGUGCUAGAGGAAACCGAGUGUCACCAGACCCCUGGGAUGAUGACCCCGUUGAGGAAGUACCAAUGGAACCCCCAUCGUACAGUGACUGGGGUGAUCCAAAACAAACUGUCAGUGAACCUGUUAAACCUAAGAAAAGUGAACCUGUAGUUAAAAAAGAAUCUAAAGCAAAUGCUGAGGUUAAAAAGGAAAGUAUUCCUGAAAAGAAAGUUGAAUCGGACUUUGUUUAUCGCGGAAAACCGAAGAAAAAGGUUGAAAGUGUGGAAGAAGUGGAUACGUAUAUAAACAAGAGAUUUAAUAACAGUCAUGCAUGGACACCCUAUCUGUGGGAGAGAAAAAGAGAGAUGCUUAUGAAAGGACCUGUAAAACCAAGCAAAGGAUUUAAGCACAGAGUCAGAUAUGGAUGGAACAGCUUUAAGAUCAGCUGGAGAGAAUUUUUGUACAGUUUUGAGGCCUGGAGAGGGGCUAUCAAGAAAAUUGAAGGUUACCAAGGUGCUGGAGUUGUAUCAUAUUUCGUGUUCCUCCGCUGGCUUUUCUUCCUCAACAUCUUCAUAUUUCUACUUCUCUUCUGGGUGAUCACCUUCUUUCAAGUCACGUUUGAUCCAGAGACAACGUACGACUCGGACUUGACGGGAUCGGGAUCGUCUGUUUAUACCACAACUAUAGCAACUACUUGUAGUGCCUUAUACAGUCCAAACGUUACAUCCGAUGCGCUGACACUCAUUCUGGAUUUCUUUCAAGGAACAGGCUGGAUGGAAGAUACAGCCAUGUUUAAUGGUUACUAUGUUGACAGGAAGGUUCAGCUUGCUGCAUCCAACUACAAUCUUCCUCUCGCUUACUUCCUGGUCACAGUCAUUGUCAUGCUGAUCAGUUUGAUUGUGAUGGUUCGCAACACAUUAUCAAACUUCAAGGAAACAGUGCUAUCUCAGGAGAAUGCGAAGCAGGCUACGUACUGUAACAGUGUGUUUGCUGGGUUUGACUAUAGUGUGGACGGACAGGAAGCUGUAGAGCUGAAACAGAAGAGCAUAUAUCGUGGAUUAGUUGCUGAUCUCGAUGACCAGAGACAUGACUUGGAAUGUCAGAAUCGUACAUCAGGGGAGAAAUGUCGCCUGUACACCGUGAGGUUUUUCAUCAAUUUCCUGAUAUUGCUUAUGUUGGGAGGAGCUGGAGCAGCUAUCUACUAUGCCCAGGAUUUUUCAACAGAUUUUACAACAGACCCAAAUGUUGAAAAUGACUAUCAUUCUCUAGUGAUACUGCUGGUACAGUUUUUACCGUCUAUUGUUAUCGGACUGCUGAACGGAAUUUAUCCUCUAAUAUUUGAUGUACUUGUCACGUUUGAAAGAUACCGCCCAGCUUUUGUCAUCAAGAUUUCUCUGAUCAGGAUGGUAUUUUUGAAGCUGGCUUCACUGGCUAUGGUAGUGGCAAGCUUGUAUGUCCAAAUAACGUGUAGUGACAGAGAUAGUUGUCUUGUAGGACAAAAUGGUUGUCCAGCUAUUGAGUGUUGGGAGACAUAUGUUGGUUCAGCCGUUUACAAGCUUGUUGUAAUGGACUUCUUGAUCAAUGUUGGUGUUACACUUGGUGUGGAAUUACCUAGAAAACUGAUAACAACAAAAUGUGAGUGUGGACUUCUACAGAAAGUCGGUCCUGCAAUAUUUGAUAUACCUAAAAAUGUCCUAGAUCUUGUCUAUGGGCAGACAUUACUUUGGUUGGGAUUUUACUUUGCUCCUUUGUUAUCUGCUGUCUGUAUUGUGACAUUCUUCCUUGUGUUCUAUCUCAAAAUGUUGUCAGCAAUGUACAAUACUGUACCACCUGAGAAACCAUACCAGGCUUCAAAGUCAAACUCGUUCUUCACUGUGAUUCUAAUGAUAGCAUUUUUUCUCAUCUGUGUACCUGUAGGGUAUACACUGUCCAACAUGGAGCCAUCCCCGAUGUGUGGACCAUUCAGGAUAUACAGUAAGCCUUCAGACAUCAUUGAUGUACAGAUUGACAAUGCUGCAAACUGGUUCCAGACACUGUGGAAUAUCUCUACGUCAGCUGCAGUCGUUUCGUCUUUAAUCAUUCUGCUCUUAUUAGCAAUAUACUAUUGUUCAGCAUUAAACUCUGCCCACAAAGAUCUGGUAGAAACUAUGAAAGAUCAGCUGGUGUUAGAAGGGAAGGACAAGCAAUAUUUGCUUUCAAGAAUUGCAGAGCUGACUGGAGGGCAACCAAAGAAGCAGCCUCCUCCAUACCAGAGAACUCAGCUUAAAACUGUAAAUGAAACACCCCCACCUCCGGUAUUAAAAACAAAGAGUAAGCCGGAGAAAAACGGAGAUGUUGGAGUUGAGUUUUAGCACUGAAAACAGAAGAAAUUAAUUUGUAUGGAAGAGAAAAGAGCAUAAUCCGUACACCUGUGAAUGAUGGAGCUCCACCACCAGCAAGUUACAAAAAUGCUAAGAAUGUAACACCAGUGAGUCCACCUGAAGAUUUCCAUGACAA